ACGCUUCCUUCGGGAAGCGAGCGUACACAGGUGCUGCAUGGCGUGCGUCAGCUCGUGUCGUGAGAUGUUGGGUUAAGUCCCGCAACGAGCGCAACCCCUGCAUUCAGUUGCCAUCGGGUAAUGCCGGGCACUCUGGAAGGACUGCCAUCGACAAGAUGGAGGAAGGUGGGAUGACGUCAAGUCAUCAUGGCCCUUAUGUCCAGGGCGACACACGUGCUACAAUGGCCGGCACAACGGGAAGCGAGUUCGCGAGGACAAGCGGAUCCCUUAAAGCCGGUCGCAGUUCGGAUUGAAGUCUGCAACUCGACUUCAUGAAGCUGGAAUCGCUAGUAAUCGUGGAUCAGCCAAGCCGCGGUGAAUACGUUCCCGGGCCUU
rnacentral:rRNA from 1 species